rnacentral:sRNA from 1 species
GUAGCUGGCUUCCGAGGCAUGUGCACGCUCCGCUCAUCCACUCUACACCUGUGCACUUACUGUGGGCUUUGAAAGCCGUGCUUAUGGCGCGGUGAUCAGGCCUACGUUUUAUUACAAACUCUUCAGUAUCAGAAUGUUUAUUACGAUGUUAACGCAUCUAUAUACAACUUUCAGCAACGGAUCUCUUGGCUCUCGCAUCGAUGAAGAACGCAGCGAAAUGCGAUAAGUAAUGUGAAUUGCAGAAUUCAGUGAAUCAUCGAAUCUUUGAACGCACCUUGCGCUCCUUGGUAUUCCGAGGAGCAUGCCUGUUUGAGUGUCGUGAAAUUCUCAAUCUAUAAGCCUUUGCGGGUUUAUAGACUUGGACUUGGAGGCUUGCCGGCUUUAAACUGUCGGCUCCUCUUAAAUGCAUUAGCUUGAUUCCUUGCGGAUCGGCUCUCGGUGUGAUAAUUGUCUACGCCGUGACCGUGAAGCGUUUGGCAGGCUUCUAACCGUCUCAUUAGAGACAGCUUCAUUGACAU